rnacentral:rRNA from 1 species
UAACCCCUACGGGACGCAGCAGUGGGGAAUAUUGCACAAUGGGGGAAACCCUGAUGCAGCGACGCCGCGUGAGUGAAGAAGUAUUUCGGUAUGUAAAGCUCUAUCAGCAGGGAAGAAAAAAGACGGUACCUGACUAAGAAGCCCCGGCUAACUACGUGCCAGCAGCCGCGGUAAUACGUAGGGGGCAAGCGUUAUCCGGAUUUACUGGGUGUAAAGGGAGCGUAGACGGUAUGGCAAGUCUGAAGUGAAAGCCCAGGGCUUAACCCUGGGACUGCUUUGGAAACUGUUAGACU